UAUUGAUGGUGAGGACAUUGAGAGAAUAGUAGCUUAAAGCACUCUUGUGCUUCAUGUAUUGGCUCUUCGUCCAUCUGUGAAAAUGUACAAAUCUUGUUCCUUAAAUU